rnacentral:rRNA from 1 species
GAUGAACGCUAGCGAUAGGCUUAACACAUGCAAGUCGAGGGGCAGCACAAGGUAGCUUGCUCUCUGGGUGGCGACCGGCGCACGGGUGCGUAACGCGUAUGCAACUUGCCCUAUACAGGAGGAUAACCCGUCGAAAGACGGACUAAUACUGCGUAUGCUCACAACUUGGCAUCAAGUGGUGAGGAAAGAAAUUCGGUAUAGGAUAGGCAUGCGUCCCAUUAGCUUGUUGGUGAGGUAACGGCUCACCAAGGCAACGAUGGGUAGGGGAACUGAGAGGUUUAUCCCCCACACUGGUACUGAGACACGGACCAGACUCCUACGGGAGGCAGCAGUGAGGAAGAUUGGUCAAUGGGCGCGAGCCUGAACCAGCCAAGUCGCGUGAAGGAUGACUGUCUUAUGGAUUGUAAACUUCUUUUAUACGGGAAUAACAAGAGUCACGUGUGACUCCCUGCAUGUACCGUAUGAAUAAGCAUCGGCUAACUCCGUG